rnacentral:rRNA from 1 species
UGGGGAAUAUUGCACAAUGGGCGGAAGCCUGAUGCAGCAACGCCGCGUGCGGGAUGACGGCCUUCGGGUUGUAAACCGCUUUCGCCUGUGACGAAGCGUGAGUGACGGUAAUGGGUAAAGAAGCACCGGCUAACUACGUGCCAGCAGCCGCGGUGAUACGCAGGGUGCGAGCGUUGUCCGGAUUUAUUGGGCGUAAAGGGCUCGUAGGUGGUUGAUCGCGUCGGAAGUGUAAUCUUGGGGCUUAACCCUGAGCGUGCUUUCGAUACGGGUUGACUUGAGGAAGGUAGGGGAGAAUGGAAUUCCUGGUGGAGCGGUGGAAUGCGCAGAUAUCAGGAGGAACACCAGUGGCGAAGGCGGUUCUCUGGGCCUUUCCUGACGCUGAGGAGCGAAAGCGUGGGGAGCAAACA